UACGAAGGGGCUAGCGUUGCUCGGAAUCACUGGGCGUAAAGGGUGCGUAGGCGGGUCUUAAGUUAGGGGUGAAAUCCUGGAGCUCAACUCCAGAACUGCCUUGAUACUGAAGAUCUUGAGUUCGGGAGAGGUGAGUGGAACUGCGAGUGUAGAGGUGAAAUUGUAGAUAUUCGCAAGAACACCAGUGGCGAAGGCGGACUCACUGGCCCGAGUACUGACGCUGAGGCACGAAAGCGUGGGGAG
rnacentral:rRNA from 1 species